UACGUAGGGGGCAAGCGUUGUCCGGAUUUAUUGGGCGUAAAGAGCGUGUAGGCGGUUAGGUAGGUCCGUUGUGAAAACUCGAGGCUCAACCUCGAGACGCCGAUGGAAACCAUCUGACUAGAGUCCGGAAGAGGAGAGUGGAAUUCCUGGUGUAGCGGUGAAAUGCGCAGAUAUCAGGAGGAACACCAAUGGCGAAGGCAGCUCGCUGGGACGGUACUGACGCUGAGACGCGAAAGCGUGGGGAGCAAACAGG
rnacentral:rRNA from 1 species